UUCUUUUUGUUUUGUUUAUGUAGACGAAACCCAGGUGAACAUUGCCAAGCACGUAUUGAAGAGCCUGUGCACAGAUGUGACCAACAUCCUGGUGAACUCUCUGGCUGCUGACCUGAUGAUGUCUGUGGAGAACCCCAGCACCAUCACUAAUGAGGUCAGAGUGAAGAUUUUGAGCAAACUGUCAGAAGAAACCAAAGGACCUCUUAUGAAGCUGCACAACUGCCUGAACGGAAAAACAAUUGAAGACUUUGUGACCAACCUGGAGCUAUCGGCAGAGGUUUGCGGAUUCAUGCUGAAAAAAGGAGA